UGAGGAAUAUUGGGUCAAUGGGCGGAAGCCUGAACCAGCCAUGCCGCGUGACGGAAGACGGCCCUAUGGGUCUUAAACGUCUUUGGUCCCGGAGCAAUAAGAGCCACGCGUGGCUCGAUGAGAGUACGGGAAGAACAAGCAUCGGCUAACUCCGUGCCAGCAGCCGCGGUAAUACGGGGGGAUGCGAGCGUUAUCCGGAUUUAUUGGGUUUAAAGGGUGCGUAGGCGGGGUGGUAAGUCAGCCGUGAAAUGUCCACGCUCAACGUGGAACGUGCGUUUGAUACUGCCGUCCUGGAAUGCGGAUGCCGUGGGAGGAAUGUGUGGUGUAGCGGUGAAAUGCAUAGAUAUCACACAGAACACCGAUUGCGAAGGCAUCUCACGAAUCCGCAAUUGAC
rnacentral:rRNA from 1 species